AGCAGAGCAGCGUGAGGACAUAUGUGUGGGAGAAGAUUCUAGAGGCUCUUGACGCAAUCUAGAUGAAAGUUGGUGAGGGGGGAGCCGCAGAGAAAAUCACUCU
rnacentral:lncRNA from 1 species